AGCGAACGCUGGCGGCAGGCCUAACACAUGCAAGUCGAGCGGCCGUAGCAAUACGGCAGCGGCAGACGGGAGAGUAACACGUGGGAACGCGCCCUUCGGUCUGGAAUAACCCAGGGAAACUUGGGCUAAUACCGGAUACGCCCUUACGGGGAAAGAUUUAUUGCCGAAGGAACGGCCCGCGUCCGAUUAGCUAGUUGGUGAGGUAACGGCUCACCAAGGCGACGAUCGGUAGCUGGUCUGAGAGGAUGACCAGCCUCACUGGGACUGAGACACGGCCCAGACUCCUACGGGAGGCAGCAGUGGGGAAUAUUGGACAAUGGGCGCAAGCCUGAUCCAGCCAUGCCGCGUGGGUGAUGAAGGCCCUAGGGUUGUAAAGCCCUUUCAGCGGGGAAGAUAAUGACGGUACCCGCAGAAGAAGCCCCGGCUAACUUCGUGCCAGCCGCCGCAGUAACAC
rnacentral:rRNA from 1 species